rnacentral:rRNA from 1 species
AUUGAACGCUGGCGGCAUGCUUUACACAUGCAAGUCGAACGGUAACAGGUUAAGCUGACGAGUGGCGAACGGGUGAGUAAUGCAUCGGAACGUGCCCGAUCGUGGGGGAUAACGCAGCGAAAGCUGCGCUAAUACCGCAUACGAUCUGAGGAUGAAAGCGGGGGAUCGCAAGACCUCGCGCGAUUGGAGCGGCCGAUGGCAGAUUAGGUAGUUGGUGGGGUAAAGGCUCACCAAGCCGACGAUCUGUAGCUGGUCUGAGAGGACGACCAGCCACACUGGGACUGAGACACGGCCCAGACUCCUACGGGAGGCAGCAGUGGGGAAUCUUGCGCAAUGCGCGAAAGCGUGACGCAGCAACGCCGCGUGGGGGAAGAAGGCCUUCGGGUUGUAAACCCCUUUCAGGAGGGACGAAGGCACGGCGGUGAACAGCCGUCCGUGCUGACGGUACCUCCAGAAGAAGCACCGGCUAACUACGUGCCAGCCGCCGCGGUAA